CACACACACACACAGAGCUCCAAGCCUCAGUACUUGACUGUAAAAAGCCUGUUCUGGGGUGCGGUCUCGCCCGGUCCCGUUGUAGACGGUUUACUCG
rnacentral:rRNA from 1 species